rnacentral:rRNA from 1 species
AUAUCAAUAAGCGGAGGAAAAGAAACCAACAGGGAUUGCCCCAGUAACGGCGAGUGAAGCGGCAAGAGCUCAAAUUUGAAAUCUGGUCUCCCCCGGGGGCCCGAGUUGUAAUUUGCAGAGGAUGCUUCGGGUGCGGCCGCCGUCUAAGUUCCUUGGAACAGGACGUCAGAGAGGGUGAGAAUCCCGUCUUGGGCGGGCGGUCCGCGCCCGUGUGAAGCUCCUUCGACGAGUCGAGUUGUUUGGGAAUGCAGCUCUAAGCGGGUGGUAAAUUUCAUCUAAAGCUAAAUAUUGGCCGGAGACCGAUAGCGCACAAGUAGAGUGAUCGAAAGGUUAAAAGCACCUUGAAAAGGGAGUUAAACAGCACGUGAAAUUGUUGAAAGGGAAGCGCUUGCGGCCAGAUUCGGGGGCGGGGUUCAGCGGGUGCUCGUCGCCCGUGUAUUCCUCGUCUCCCGGGCCAGCAUCAGUUUCGACGGCCGGUCAAAGGCCCCCGGAAUGUGUCGUCUCUCGGGACGUCUUAUAGCCGGGGGUGCAAUGCGGCCCGUCGGGACUGAGGAACGCGCUCCGGCUCGGAUGCUGGCGUAAUGGCCGUAAGCGGC